GAUGAUCAGCAGGUAAAAGAGUCCACAGAGAAAUCCUCAGUUUAAUGAUCGAUCAUGAUUCGUUAUCAAUACCUAAUUAGCGCUCCAUGCUCUGCAGUCACACUCUCUCUGCCAGCACACUCCAGGCUAAAACACGUUUUGUUGGUUAAACUGGAUCCUUUUCUGCCUUUUUCAUCACGUUUGUGUUGCAAAUGAGAUUUGCUGAGUUUUUGGCAGAGAGGACGCCGUGAUGCUGCGUCGGAUUCCAGCGCGGCGAGGAGAGGAGGCGUCUCCAAACGCAGGACGGAAACUUUGGAGCUGCUGGUGUCAGGCAGACGGCGUCCCAGAGUUAUUUCUGACUGUGCUGCCAGCAGAGGCGGCGAGCUGCUGGAUGGAGCGUUUUUCAUGAUAAUCAUAUCAUUUCAGCUUAAUGACUCCUGACAGCCAUGCGCUUUGUCAUCUAUCUUUAAUCCUUAAAAACACCAAAAUAACUCCGCCGGCGCUCCAGCUCGUUCUCUUUUGAUUUGAGCCACAGGUACCGGCGGAGCGCCGCUCUCCCAGGGUUCAACCAGAGACAUGAAGGAUUCCCGUUUCUCUUUCAUCUGUGAGGACAGAGCCGGGAGGGAACCGUAAUGAAGGCGGAGCUGCAGCCGUUCAGAAGCUGGUGAGAGGCGGAAACAUCAGGACACAAACUUCAGGAACUCUGAAAGGAGUUCCUCUGACCGAC